GACGAACGCUGGCGGCACGCUUAACACAUGCAAGUCGAACGGAGUUAAUUGGAGCUUGCUUUGAUUAACUUAGUGGCGGACGGGUGAGUAACACGUGAGCAACCUGCCUUUAAGAGAGGAAUAACAGUCUGAAAAGACUGCUAGUACCUCAUAACAUAACGAAGCCGCAUGACUUUGUUAUCAAAGAUUUAUCGCUUAAAGAUGGGCUCGCGUCUGAUUAGCUUGUUGGUGAGGUAACGGCCCACCAAGGCGACGAUCAGUAGCCGUACUGAGAGGUAGAUCGGCCACAUUGGGACUGAGACACGGCCCAGACUCCUACGGGAGGCAGCAGUGGGGAAUAUUGCACAAUGGAGGAAACUCUGAUGCAGCGAUGCCGCGUGAGGGAAGAAGGUUUUCGGAUUGUAAACCUCUGUCUUCAGGGACGAUAAUGACGGUACCUGAGGAGGAAGCUCCGGCUAACUACGUGCCAGCCGCCGCGGUAA
rnacentral:rRNA from 1 species